GUGCCCAAUGAUUAUAAAAAGACGCGUUAUUCUGAGGGAGCCCCCUGCUGUCUGUUCUCUGGCUGUUUCUCUUCCUUGCACUGCUCCCCCACUUUGCCUCCAUCUGUUUGGUCUGUCCCUCUCUUGUCUGUCUCUGUCUAUGGCAGGCAGCAGGUCCACUGAUUGCGAUUAUGAGAUAUGAGGGCAC